UACAGAGACUGCAAGCGUUAUUCGGAUUCACUGGGCGUAAAGGGUGCGCAGGCGGCCAAGUGUGUUAGGCGUGAAAGCCUGGGGCUUAACCCCAGAAUUGCACCUAAAACUACAUGGCUAGAGCAUUGGAGAGGGUAGCGGAAUUCUCGGUGUAGCGGUGAAAUGCGUAGAUAUCGAGAGGAACAUCAGUGGCGAAGGCGGCUGCCUGGCCCAAUACUGACACUCAGGUGCGACAGCGUGGGGAGCAAACAGG
rnacentral:rRNA from 1 species